AUCGAUAAUCCCCGAUAANUUUAACUUUACUUAAAAAUUUAUAUACCGCCAUCUCAAGAAUUAAUUAAAAAAUAUUUCUCAAAAAAAUAAUUAAAAAGUUAGGUCAAGGUGUAAUCAAUAUUAAAGAAUUAGAUGAUUUACAUUAAACAUUAUUUAAAGAUUUUAAAUAAAUUCAUUUAUAUAAAUAAGAAUUUAAAAGUAAUGUUUAAAUAAUAUUAAAACAUAAAUAGGAUAAUAAAUGUGUACACAUCGCCC
rnacentral:rRNA from 1 species